CGGAAGCAGCUGGCUCGCUCGGGGUCGAGGGGGCGGGGAGAGCUGUGAAGAUGGCGGCAGUCGUGGAGGUGGAGGUUGGAGGUGGUGCUGCCGGGGAACGGGAGUUGGAUGAGGUUGAUUUGUCAGACCUCUCCCCAGAGGAGCAGUGGAGGGUCGAGCAUGCACGCAUGCAUGCCAAGCACCGUGGCCACGAAGCCAUGCACGCUGAAAUGGUCCUCAUCCUCAUCGCUACCUUGGUGGUAGCCCAACUGCUCCUGGUGCAGUGGAAACAGAGGCACCCCCGCUCCUACAAUAUGGUGACCCUCUUUCAGAUGUGGGUUGUUCCCCUCUAUUUCACAGUGAAGCUGCACUGGUGGAGAUUCCUAGUGAUCUGGACCUUGUUCUCUGCUGUCACAGCCUUCGUCACCUUCCGAGCCACCAGAAAACCACUAGUACAGACCACCCCAAGGCUUGUUUAUAAGUGGUUCCUGCUAAUCUAUAAAAUCAGCUAUGCCACUGGCAUUGUUGGCUACAUGGCUGUCAUGUUUACCCUCUUUGGUCUUAACUUACUAUUCAAGAUCAAACCAGAAGAUGCUAUGGACUUUGGCAUUUCUCUCCUCUUCUAUGGUCUCUACUAUGGAGUUCUUGAGCGGGACUUUGCAGAAAUGUGUGCAGACUACAUGGCAUCCACCAUAGGGUUCUACAGCGAGUCGGGCAUGCCUACCAAACACCUUUCAGACAGUGUAUGUGCCGUGUGUGGGCAGCAGAUCUUUGUGGAUGUCAGCGAAGAGGGCAUCAUCGAGAACACGUAUAGGCUGUCUUGCAAUCACGUAUUCCAUGAGUUCUGCAUCCGCGGCUGGUGCAUUGUUGGAAAGAAGCAGACGUGUCCCUACUGCAAAGAGAAGGUAGACCUCAAGAGGAUGUUCAGCAACCCCUUCUCUCUCCCAGCUGUGGCUUCCCAUGGUCCCCCACUGCUCACACCAGGGGGCCCAUCCUCAGAGGAAUGGGGACUGCCGACGAGUCAAGGGUUCAUCCUUUUGCUCUUGUCCCCCCUACACGUUCUUACUCACGUGAGAAGCUGAGGCCAGGCUGUCCAAGGCCGUCCUCAUACUUCCACAGUCCUGAGCCCCAUGAACUCCUAGCGGCCCAGCUCUGGUCUUAUUUACACUCUAAGGUAGAGUCCCAUCUCCUCUUCCUCCCGUCCCCCAAAGGACUGUGUGUCUCAGAAGCCCCAAGCAGCCUCGCCUCCUGACCUAACUACUGGAGUACUGGUGUUCCUAGGGAGGAGUCUCUGAUGUUCCUGAUGGAUCUUGCAAACCCAUUUCCAUCUCCUGGCCUCCUGCUCCAUUUCCAGAGUUCUGUCCUGAUCACAGAGGUCACAACCCGAGACACUCAGGUCUCUUACUUCACACUUGGUCUGUACACACCAAUCACAGUCCUGGCCUUUCUGCCUCCACAGACACUUGCACGACCCUGAUGGUGAGCGCCUUCCUCGCCGUUCCACAGCCCCACCCAUUUGUGCCAUCAGUGACCAGAGUGACAUAUUUAUACACUGUUGCCCGAGCCUGUGCUGGGCUGUCGCUCCUCUUCCCUGGGUGGUGCCCUCCCCUCCUUUUAAGGCCAGUGCCCUAGCUGGUGUUCCAGGUUCUCAGUUUGGCUCGGAGAGCUUCCUGCAGACAAGACUGGGUCAGACUCAGCUAGUUGAGCCGUGGAGCUCCAGGGAGGGGGGAUUCGAAGGAGGAGGGCUCUUUGGGGGUAGGCAAAGGGACUCCAGACUUACUGGUGAACCUAGACUGUAGCUCUGGCCAAGGGGUUGGGCUGAGAGAAGUGAGGAGGAUUUGCUGGGAUGAUGGGUGCGUGUUGGGGUGGUGGUUAGAGGGAGAGCCUGAGAAAGGCCAGGAUGUGGAUGGUCGAUGGGCUGGUGUGACACUGAACCUGAAAUGAUAAAAUGAUUCAACUUGGGGUCCCCAGUGCCAAGGAGAGUUGUCCCCUCCAAUAUGGCUGUGAAAUGUGAGAAAAGAAGCAGGGCAUCUACUCCUGCAGGAGCAAAGGCCUGGAUGCAGGGCAAAGAUGGAUACCAAAGUCCCAAUCCUUGCCUGGGACAGAAUUGAUCUGUGAGGGACUCAUUACUUCAUGCCUGAUGUGACCCUGGGAGGCUGAAGCUGAGGCUGGAUCGAAGUUUGUUACCCUGGUCUGAUAUCAUCUGGAAGCGGGGAGCCUGGGAAUUAAUGAGCAGGAGGAUUCAAGGCCACUGUAAGCUUUGCUCCGGAAGAGGUACAGUGUGCGGGAGGGCAGUCGCCAUGCAUUUGUGCUUUGUCUGCUAGUGACCUGGAGCCUGCUCUGGAUUCCCUAGUUAGAAUAAAAGUGAAAGUGAAAUAGGAAGGGGGCAGUGCUUUUCCCAGAAGGAUUUCACUUACCCUGCCCUUCCCAGAACCAGCCCUGGCUGUGUGGAGAGAGCUUUGUGACUAGGUAAGUCCCAGCCCCGACUUGGGCCUCAGUUUCUCCAUCCCUAUAAUGAAAGGGUUAGGUUAAACAAACAUUAUUACCAUAAUGGUAAUGGUAAUAAGACCUAGGGUGGAGAAAGAGUGUCACUGGAUCAUCUCCAGCUUUGUUUUAACUGCUGGAAGAGCCCCAACCUGUGACAGAUGCCUGGGCAAAUAGGAUAGUAAACAAAUAGCAGUGCCUGGCAGCCUGCUUCAAGUUUAGACCUAGAGAGGGGAGUCUGUGGGAAGGGAGGCCACCGAGGUUUAUUCAUCAUUCCCGUCCCCACCCACCUCCUCCCUGACCUCCCCCAGAGAGGAGGAAGUUGUCACAGAUAAAUAGAGCCAAGCACGCCAGCUCCAGACACAUGCCAGCUCCUGACACACGCAUCAUGACCAUGAGACAGAACUGGAUACCAGACUCCAGGCCUCUGUGGGUCCUGCUCCUGUGUGCUCACGUCAUCUCCCUCCUGGCCAGAGCCACACCUUUACCUCAGGCCACCACCGCUGCCACUGCCUCAGCUGGGGGCAUGAAGGACCCCUGCCUCUCCUGGCUCCCAAUACUCCCAGCAGCUAAGCAGUGCCCAGCAUUGGAGGUGACUUGGCCAGAAGUGGAAGUUCCACUGAGUUCCCUCUGCCUCAACAGACUGACAGAUGAACUCUGAAGCCCGGAUGAAAUGCCACCUCUUCUUCGAGGGCCGUGCUGUCCGUCAGCUCAGGCCAUGUUCUGCAGUGACUUAGUGUUGUGUUUGUGGGUUUUUAUACCUCUAAUGGACUGUCCCAGGGAAGGGAUGGGGGCAGGCUGCUUCUGACCAACAGCUGUAUCCUCUCAUGCAUCCUUUUCAUGCCCAUCAUCAGGACCCAUAAUGGGCACUCAUAAAUGAAUUUUUAAUGGAGA